rnacentral:rRNA from 1 species
CUGGCUCAGGACGAACGCUGGCGGCGUGCCUAACACAUGCAAGUCGAGCGAGAGAUCCUCGGGAUGAUCCUAGCGGCGGACGGGUGAGUAACACGUGGGCAACCUGCCUCAUAGGGAGGAAUAGCCUUCCGAAAGGGAGAUUAAUACCUCAUAACAUUGCAGUUUCGCAUGGAACAGCAAUUAAAGGAGCAAUCCGCUAUGAGAUGGGCCCGCGGCGCAUUAGCUAGUUGGUGAGGUAACGGCUCACCAAGGCGACGAUGCGUAGCCGACCUGAGAGGGUGAUCGGCCACAUUGGGACUGAGACACGGCCCAGACUCCUACGGGAGGCAGCAGUGGGGAAUAUUGCACAAUGGGGGAAACCCUGAUGCAAGCAACGCCGCGUGAGUGAUGACGGCCUUCGGGUUGUAAAGCUCUGUCUUCAGGGACGAUAAUGACGGUACCUGAGGAGGAAGCCACGGCUAACUACGUGCCAGCAGCCGC